AUAAAGUUUAAUUUUAGUUUAAAAAUUUAUUUAAUUUUUUAUUUACAUGUAAAUUUUAGUUUGAAUUUAAUAUUAAUUUUAAUAAUUAUAUUUAAAUUUUUUAUUCGCAGUAUAAAAUAUUAUUAAUUUAAGAGAUUAAGAAUUAUGAAUAAAUUUAUAUAUUAACAAAAUUUGUGCCAGCAGUUGCGGUUAUACAGAAAAUAUAAAUAAAUUUUAUUGGUUAAUAAUAAAAUGAAUUUAAUUUAGUUAAAAUAAAAUUUAUAAAGUGAAAUUUAAAAUUUUAAAUAAUUAUGAGUAAAUGUAUUGAUAUUAUGAAAUUUUGUGAUUAGACUAGGAUUAGAUACCCUAUUAUUAGGAAUGUAAAUUUUUACCAAAGUAGUAUUAGUUAUGAUCUUGAAAUUUAAAAAUUUUGGCGGUAUUUUAGUCUAUUCAGAGGAACCUGUUCUAUAAUUGAUAGUCCACGAUAAACUUUACUUUAUUUAUUAGUUUAUAUAUCGUCGUUAUUAAAUAUUUUAUAAGAAUUAUAAUAUUUAAUAUUUUUAAUUAAAAAAUAUAUCAGAUCAAGGUGUAGUUUAUAAUAAAGUAGAAAUGGGUUACAAUAAAUUUAUUUAUGGAUUUAUAUAUAAAAUAGUAUAAUGAAAUUGGAUUUGAUAGUAAUAAUUUUUAUAUUUAAAUUAUGAUUAUAGCUCUAAAAUGUGUACAUAUCGCCCGUCACUCUUAUUAUAAAAUAAGAUAAGUCGUAACAUAGUAGAUGUACUGGAAAGUGUAUCUAGAAUGA
rnacentral:ncRNA from 1 species